rnacentral:sRNA from 1 species
AAUGUAGAAAGAGGUAGUGAGUGUUCUCGAUUGUUCAUAGUCAGCUACAGAUUGAAUUCCUUGGUCUACUCUUCCCCCCUUCUCACUACUGCACUUGACUAAUUUAAA